rnacentral:rRNA from 1 species
UGAACUCAUUGAGAGUUGAGGCAGCGCAUGUCUCAUGCCAGUGCUUAGACACUCAAAUUUUCACAGCAUCUGAGAUGAAGUAGGACCACCCGCUGAACUUAAGCAUACCAUUAAGCGGAGGAAAAGAAACUAACAAGGAUUCCCUUAGUACGGGCGACGGAAGCGGGAAAAGCCCACACUGGUAAUCUCCGUGCGUUAGUACGGCGAAUUGUAAUCUGAAGAGUUGAUGUCAUGGCCAGGAGGAGACGCAGAAGUGUCCACGAGCGGACCGCCAAAGAGGGUGAGAGCCCCGUCUGUAGUGUUUUCUUCAGUCUGAUAUCGGCCCAAAGAGUCGUGUACCUUGAUACUGGUGCACCAAGCGGGAGAUAAACUUCUUCUAAGGCUAAAUAUAAGUAGGAAACCGAUAGCGAACAAGUACUGUGAAGGAAAGAUGAAAAGCACUUUGGAAAGAAAGUUAAAAGACCUGAAAUCGUUGAGGCGGAAGCGGUAGAAAUGAAUUCUUCGCCAUGGUAGGUGGGAAGCCUGCGGUCGCGGGUUACUUCUUGCCUGGCGUGAGACAAGAUGGAGUCGGCAGGUGCCAGAGACGCUGUGGCCGGACCUCACGGUCUAGCCAUAGUGGCCGGGUAGCCAGCCGGCUUGAGGGGCUUUGUGCGAUCUUGUCAAAAUGGUUUUUACCGACCCGUCUUGAAACACGGACCAAGGAGUCUAAGACUAGCGCGAGUGUGGUGGUGGAGAAACCAACACGCGAAAUGAAAGUAAAUGGUGCCAACUUCGGUGCAGCACCGACCGACCAUGAUCCACUGGUGAAAGGUUUGAGUAAGAGCGUUAUUCUUAGGACCCGAAAGAUGGUGAACUAUGCCUGUGUAGGGUGAAGUCAGGGGAAACUCUGAUGGAGGCUCGUAGCGAUACUGACGUGCAAAUCGUUCGUCGAACAUGGGUAUAGGGGCGAAAGACUAAUCGAACCAUCUAGUAGCUGGUUCCCGCCGAAGUUUCCCUCAGGAUAGCUGGGACAACCACGCAGUUUUAUUAGGUAAAGCGAAUGAUUAGAGGCAUCGGGGACGGAAUGUCCUUGACCUAUUCUCAAACUUUAAAUUGGUAAGAACUCCUGUCUUUCUUAAGUGAAGCGGGAGGUUCAAUGCGUGUCCUUAGUGGGCCAUUUUUGGUAAGCAGAACUGGCGAUGAGGGAUGCUCCUAACGUUGGGUUAAGGUGCCAAACUACACGCUCAUCAGAAACUACAAAGGGUGUUAGUUCAUCCAGACAGCAGGACGGUGGCCAUGGAAGUCGGAAUCCGCUAAGGAGUGUGUAACAACUCACCUGCCGAAUG